AAGGAAGUCUGUAAACCAGACCUGAAACAGCUACUUUGUUUUAUUUCCAUUUUGGCUUUGAGCCUGGUAAUCCAUUUGUCAAAUUUGCAAUGGAGAACAGCACUGCCUCUCUCCUCAUAACACUCAGUAAACAGCAGCUCUGUGGGUGGAAGCACCUCGUUGAUGAGAAAGGAGAGGCCAGUCUGGAGAACUGCAAGAUUGACUCCAGUUGACAGGAAGCAUCACAUGGCUCUAACAGCAGAAAACCACUGACACCAGCAAGCUAUAAGACCACAGGAGGCUAAAAUUACCAAUAAAAUGCUUUAUGUGUUUAAUCUCAAAAAUAACAGGGGAAAAAUAAAAUAUGUACAGCACAGAAUGUGCAAACGUAUGGUUUCUGUACAAAGAAAUAUACACAAAAACACAAGACUGAGUCAAAGACAUUCAAAAUGACAUUUUAACUGGAUGUAAAAAAUUCAAUGUGAUGACGCCAAGGUUCCUAUGGUUGUUUGAAUCUGUACAGCUAUACAUAAUGAAAUAAAUUAAGAUCUACACAACAAAAAGUGAAAAUUCACACAUUUUGACCCAUGGUUACUAACAACUAUUUUAAAAUUCAAUAAUCAAGUUACCACAAACUGGUCUGAGACCUUAAAACACUGUCCUUUCAAAAGAAAUAAACAAUACUAAAACAGCUGAACUAAGGGUUAGCCUUGGUGUGUUUGCCCACGCCGUCUCAGGUCAUCCUUGAAGUGGUAAGAGAGUCUACAGACAUUACUGACCCAUGCAAGUGUACAGUUUUACGUCUUAUAUCAUGAUUGAAUAUUAAAUGAGAAGGCCUUGAAAUGAUUAUAAGAUGUAGCACAAGCUGAACUAUCUGCAGGAAAAAAGUAAGAACAAGACAUAAAUAAAGUUAGAGUUGAUACGUGUAAACACCAAACUCGAGGGUUCGCAUUCAUAAUCCUUUUCAAACCAAAAUCACUAAAAAGGAAGGAACCACUUUUAGGUACAUAAAAGGUUAACUUUGGUAUUACAAUGAAAAUUGAUAACAUUCAGAAAAAAGCAAAAGCAAAAAGUGCGAGAUAGCAAACAUUUUUCACUAAAUUUGCUCAGCCUUCCACAAAAUAA